GUACACUCCUGCGGGAGGCAGCAGUGGGGAAUAUUGCACAAUGGGCGCAAGCCUGAUGCAGCCAUGCCGCGUGUAUGAAGAAGGCCUUCGGGUUGUAAAGUACUUUCAGCGGGGAGGAAGGCGAUAAGGCUAAUAACCUUGUCGAUUGACGUUACCCGCAGAAGAAGCACCGGCUAACUCCGUGCCAGCAGCCGCGGUAAUACGGAGGGUGCAAGCGUUAAUCGGAAUUACUGGGCGUAAAGCGCACGCAGGCGGUCUGUCAAGUCGGAUGUGAAAUCCCCGGGCUCAACCUGGGGACUGCAUUCGAAACUGGCAGGCUAGAGUCUUGUAGAGGGGGGUAGAAUUCCAGGUGUAGCGGUGAAAUGCGUAGAGAUCUGGAGGAAUACCGGUGGCGAAGGCGGCCCCCUGGACAAAGACUGACGCUCAGGUGCGAAAGCGUGGGGAGCAAACAGGAUUAGAUACCCUUGUAGUCCCA
rnacentral:rRNA from 1 species